GACGAACGCUGGCGGCGUGCUUAACACAUGCAAGUCGAACGGAAAGGCCCUGCUUUUGUGGGGUGCUCGAGUGGCGAACGGGUGAGUAACACGUGAGUAACCUGCCCUUGACUUUGGGAUAACUUCAGGAAACUGGGGCUAAUACCGGAUAGGAGCUCCUGCUGCAUGGGGGGGGUUGGAAAGUUUCGGCGGUUGGGGAUGGACUCGCGGCUUAUCAGCUUGUUGGUGGGGUAGUGGCUUACCAAGGCUUUGACGGGUAGCCGGCCUGAGAGGGUGACCGGCCACAUUGGGACUGGGCUACGGCCCAGACUCCUACGGGAGGCAGCAGUGGGGAAUAUUGCACAAUGGGCGGAAGCCUGAUGCAGCAACGCCGCGUGCGGGAUGACGGCCUUCGGGUUGUAAACCGCUUUCGCCUGUGACGAAGCGUGAGUGACGGUAAUGGGUAAAGAAGCACCGGCUAACUACGUG
rnacentral:rRNA from 1 species